rnacentral:rRNA from 1 species
CGUGGGGAACCGUGCCCCAUAGUCUGGGAUACCACUUGGAAACAGGUGCUAAUACCGGAUAAGAAAGCAGAUCGCAUGAUCAGCUUUUAAAAGGCGGCGUAAGCUGUCGCUAUGGGAUGGCCCCGCGGUGCAUUAGCUAGUUGGUAAGGUAAAGGCUUACCAAGGCGAUGAUGCAUAGCCGAGUUGAGAGACUGAUCGGCCACAUUGGGACUGAGACACGGCCCAAACUCCUACGGGAGGCAGCAGCC